rnacentral:rRNA from 1 species
UACGGAGGGUGCAAGCGUGGUCCGGAUUUAUUGGGUUUAAAGGGUGCGUAGGCGGCCCAUUAAGUCAGUGGUGAAAGCCUCCAGCUCAACUGGAGAACUGCCAUUGAUACUGACGGGCUUGAGUACAGACGAGGUUGGCGGAAUUGAUUGUGUAGCGGUGAAAUGCAUAGAUACAAUCAAGAACUCCGAUUGCGUAGGCAGCUAACUAGGCUGUAACUGACGCUGAGGCACGAAAGCGUGGGGAGCGAACAGG